rnacentral:rRNA from 1 species
GAUGAACGCUGGCGGCGUGCUUAACACAUGCAAGUCGAACGGAAAGGCCCUGCGCUUGUUGGGUGCUCGAUAGGCGAACGGGUGAGUAACACGUGAGGAACCUGUCCUUGAAUUUGUGAUAACUUUAGGGAACUGGGGCGAAAAUCCGAGAUGAGCUCUUGCUGCGCGUGGGUGAAUGGUAAAUUUCGGCGGUGGGGGAUGUACUGGAGGGUUAUGAGCUUGUUGGUGGGGUAGUUGCUUUCCAGGGCUUUGACGGGUAGGCGGCCUGGGAGGGUGACCGGCCACAUUGGGACUGAGAGACGGACCAGACUCCUACGGGAGGCAGCAGUGGGGAAUAUUGCACAAUGGGCGGAAGCCUGAUGCAGAAACGCCGCGUGCGGGAUGACGGCUUUCGGGUUGUAAACAGCUUUCGCCUGUGACGAAGCGUGCGUGACGGUAAUGGGUAAAGAAGCACCGGCUAACUACGUG